rnacentral:rRNA from 1 species
UGCAAAGAACUUUGAAGAGAGAGUUCAAGAGGGCGUGAAACCGUUGAGAUUGAAACGGAUAGAGUUGACGGAACUCGGCUGCAUUCAUUCGGUCGGCCUAGCGGUCCGGCGGCAUCGUCUUCCUCGAUGAGGGCGCUGUCGACGGUAGCUGUUGGGUGUUGGACCGGUGUAUUUGUGGCCGGUAUGCGCUGAGAGCUUCGUGAUCACGUGUUGAUGCGUGUGUAGUGGACCAUUCCCUCUGGGCGUGGAAACCUGCGCGCGUUGAGGCAUGUUGGCCAUGGGGUUUGAACGUGAGCGCCUCCGCUAUGGUGCGUCGGCCUUGUCGCGCUGUUGUGGCCAUGGGAAGUCGCAUGCGACCUUCUGUGGUUUGCGAUGGCGUGGUGGGGUGCGGACGCGUCGAGGCGUGCUUCUCGGUGUGAACGUUGACCACCUAUCCGACCCGUCUUGAAACACGGACCAAGGAGUCCAGCAUAUGCGCGAGUCGUUGGGUGUUAAACCUAAAGGCGUAAUGAAAGUGAAGUUUGUCUUGAUGCGAAUGAUAUGGGAUCCGUGAUGCUCUCGAGCAGCGCGGCGCACCAUAGCCCCGUCCCCGUUGCUUGCAAUAGGGCGGAGGUAGAGCGCAUACGCUGGGACCCGAAAGAUGGUGAACUAUGCCUGAGCAGGAUGAAGCCAGAGGAAACUCUGGUGGAAGUCCGAAGCGGUUCUGACGUGCAAAUCGAUCGUCUGACUUGGGUAUA